UGGAAACAUAGCUUGUGCUGGACCUGAUAACUUAACUGUGCCUGAUGGGUCCCAUAGCUGUUUCCAUCAGCAGUCGGACGUGCUGAAGAUGGAGUCUGAAAAUAGGCCGCAGAUACCGUCGAAACUGCGUGGAAGUCAGCAGCGGGAACAGUGCUAACAGGGGGAACAGCCAGACUGCCAGACUGCAAAUGCGGAACAAAUGUGCAGGUUUCAUGCGGAAAUUACCGCCUAACGAGACCCAAAAAGAGCAACGGUGCGAACCAUAGCUCUGUGAAGCCUUUUUAUCUCUCACAGUGUUGAUGUUUUAUUCAGUGAGACAACAAUGACAUUAUGAUCUCACAAACAGGGAAAACAUAAAUGGAAUCCAUUUCCCAUGACCCCUUGCAGCCUGUUAGACGCAAACGCUCGCGCUGAGAUACGUCCUUUCCCCGGGAGAAGACAGCACUAUUGCUGCCAGCUAUUUUGCGAGCAGACAAAUGGAUUCUAAAGUGAGCAGUAGUACACCUGCAGACUGCGACCCGGGCCAGUGUUGUGAACGCAGCGCGCUGGGACGAAUGUCCGCGUGUGCCCAGUAGAAACGAGGCAGCCAACCAGACACAGGAGAAAUCACUCCAUGGCAACGCUGCCGUACCUUUCAGUCAUUGAGAAAUGUUCCUCUGCUUGCGUCAAGCCCGGCCGAUGUCCCGCCCCCGAGAGCCGUAUACCCCACCGUGAUUGCUCACGAAGGUUAAAGUUGCCCAUCCAUCAUUCAGACAACAAUGGAGUAAGUGUGCCCUCUAGUGGUGGAAAAGAGAAGCAACAGCGAAGACAGGAACCACUCAAAAGUUCAAAAACCAAUUUAGUCCAGUAAUGUAUUCCAACUUAAAGGACCGUAACACUGUGUUUGAAAGCUUUAACCCUCAAAUACAAAAUACAUGCACUCAUUUUUUUUUCUGACCACAUUCAAAAAUAUUCUAGAUUUUAGAUAAAAUUCACUCUUAAC